rnacentral:rRNA from 1 species
GUGGAAGCGUCUGGAAAGGCGUGCGAUACAGGGUGACAGCCCCGUACACAAAAAUGCACAUACUGUGAGCUCGAUGAGUAGGGCGGGACACGUGGUAUCCUGUCUGAAUAUGGGGGGACCAUCCUCCAAGGCUAAAUACUCCUGACUGACCGAUAGUGAACCAGUACCGUGAGGGAAAGGCGAAAAGAACCCCGGCGAGGGGAGUGAAAAAGAACCUGAAACCGUGUACGUACAAGCAGUGGGAGCCUCUUAAUGGGGUGACUGCGUACCUUUUGUAUAAUGGGUCAGCGACUUAUAUUCUGUAGCAAGGUUAACCGAAUAGGGGAGCCGAAGGGAAACCGAGUCUUAACUGGGCGUUAAGUUGCAGGGUAUAGACCCGAAACCCGGUGAUCUAGCCAUGGGCAGGUUGAAGGUUGGGUAACACUAACUGGAGGACCGAACCGACUAAUGUUGAAAAAUUAGCGGAUGACUUGUGGCUGGGGGUGAAAGGCCAAUCAAACCGGGAGAUAGCUGGUUCUCCCCGAAAGCUAUUUAGGUAGCGCCUCGUGAAUUCAUCUCCGGGGGUAGAGCACUGUUUCGGCAAGGGGGUCAUCCCGACUUACCAACCCGAUGCAAACUGCGAAUACCGGAGAAUGUUAUCACGGGAGACACACGGCGGGUGCUAACGUCCGUCGUGAAGAGGGAAACAACCCAGACCGCCAGCUAAGGUCCCAAAGUCAUGGUUAAGUGGGAAACGAUGUGGGAAGGCCCAGACAGCCAGGAUGUUGGCUUAGAAGCAGCCAUCAUUUAAAGAAAGCGUAAUAGCUCACUGGUCGAGUCGGCCUGCGCGGAAGAUGUAACGGGGCUAAACCAUGCACCGAAGCUGCGGCAGCGACGUUUAUGCGUUGUUGGGUAGGGGAGCGUUCUGUAAGCCUGCGAAGGUGUACUGUGAGGUAUGCUGGAGGUAUCAGAAGUGCGAAUGCUGACAUAAGUAACGAUAAAGCGGGUGAAAAGCCCGCUCGCCGGAAGACCAAGGGUUCCUGUCCAACGUUAAUCGGGGCAGGGUGAGUCGACCCCUAAGGCGAGGCCGAAAGGCGUAGUCGAUGGGAAACAGGUUAAUAUUCCUGUACUUGGUGUUACUGCGAAGGGGGGACGGAGAAGGCUAUGUUGGCCGGGCGACGGUUGUCCCGGUUUAAGCGUGUAGGCUGGUUUUCCAGGCAAAUCCGGAAAAUCAAGGCUGAGGCGUGAUGACGAGGCACUACGGUGCUGAAGCAACAAAUGCCCUGCUUCCAGGAAAAGCCUCUAAGCAUCAGGUAACAUCAAAUCGUACCCCAAACCGACACAGGUGGUCAGGUAGAGAAUACCAAGGCGCUUGAGAGAACUCGGGUGAAGGAACUAGGCAAAAUGGUGCCGUAACUUCGGGAGAAGGCACGC